UGUUCUUCGUCUGCAGUGCUUCUCUGAGGCUGUCCGCUUUUUGUUUUUGUCCCAGAGUGGUCCCUUUACUGACUGUGUGUGGUUCUAGCUGCUGCCAAACCUCCACUUGUUGAUAGCUUACCGCAGUGUUACUGAAGUGAAUAUUGUGUGUACAGUAAUGUCCCACGAGCUGCAGCUGGCACUGACUAUGUUCACAUGCAGGCUGUAAGUGAAUGAACUGCCUAAUCAGAGCCAAAAUACAACUGUAAAAUGGUUGAUUUUUUUUAAGAAAUUGAUCUUUGGAUGAACUUUGCCUAUGCUUGUGAAAAACUGGACCAAAUUUCAACAUUAAUAUGUGGAUCUGAAUCUUACUAAUCACAGCAUAAAGUUAUUUUUUUUGUAUACUGUAAAAGCUUGCAUGUCAACUCCAUUGCUAGUUUUAAUAAGGGCCAGUAAACUAGCGGUUAAUGUCCUCUGGUAGUGUGCUCAUUUUCGUAUGAAAGUGAACAUGUUUUGGGUCUUAAUUUCCAUUCAUUCGGUCACUGAAUAAUGCUGUUUAUCUGCUUUUAAUAAGGGAAUGUUCCACCAUUUUGUUUUUCCGUGUCUGCACAUUGUCCUAAAAUAUAAACAGUCCUUGUCAGGAUGGAGAUGAGAUGCAUGUGGGGAAACGCAUGCAGUGGCCUGCUAGUAGUUGAAGCGUAUUAGCACAACAAUCUUCUUGACUCUGAUGUGUUGGACUGCGGCCAAUUUCAUGUGAUCAUUUUACCAAACCGAAAGGGACAUGAUGAUAUUUGCUUUGAACUGUUCUAUGAAUAACAUCAAUCUAGGUAGUAUGCGACUUGCACAUGUGAUGUGUGUUUCUAAGCACUUAUUAUCCACAGAAAGGAGAAAUUCCAGAUUUAUGCAAGAAGAGAAAUUGAUUUCUGGGUCUGUCAAAUCAACAAUAAUAUUAAAAGCUUCUUCCUGUCUAGCGCACAGUCAAUAGUUGCAGACAGCGGAGGGCAACUCACUUCUUCUGAAUGUCUCCAUACUGCUCGAGUACAAUGUCUGUUUUUUUUUUAUACACAUUAAAUAUUUUAUUUUCCAUACAUGGUCUUUUCUGUGUCCAUUUGAAACAAUUUACAAUAAACACUUUGCCAACGUGUCUCCUCUGUGUGGAGUAUCUGUGCUUCCAUUGAAAAGCCAAAUAUCAAGAAUUGACUCCAGGAUAUUUGAGGUUUUUUUAAUUUAAUAUUUCAUGUGAGAGGCUUUAUUAAAGCCUCAGUGUGAUACUCAGCUGUACAAUGAUGUAGUUAAUUGUUAAAAUUAUCUCUUGAGUGCUUACAUAAAGCUGAUUUUAAAAAAAACAACAACCUUUAUCCAGUAUAACGGUUUACAUUUGUUACAAAGAACAAAGCACAGAAUGAAAGAGAUCUGGAAACAAUCAAAGAUCUACCCAAAAGUCU
rnacentral:lncRNA from 1 species